CUUUUCUUUUCUUUUCUUUUGGCUAGGGGCAGUUAAACUUUGCCAGUAGAGGGUGCUGGAGGGAUAUCUAAGAAGAAAGGGGUGUUUUCUAGCUCCUGCCACACUAUCAGUAGUUUUGUUUUAAUGAACACCUUCAUACAGCCCUGCUGAUGAGGACCCAACACACUCCAGGACUUGCACAGGUACACACAGUGAUAUCCCAACUCCCUCUGCAUAACUGCCCAUCAACCUUGGCUCACCUGUACCCGGAAGGUUGCUUUCUGCUCCCCAGAAGAAGUGGUGUACCACUUUACACUCCCACCAGCAGUAUAUGAAAAUUCCAACUGCUCUACCUCCUUACAAACACUUGGUACGGUCAGUCAUUCUAUUACCAUUUUAGCCACACUAAUAGGUAUGUAAUGAUAUCUCACAGUAGUU
rnacentral:lncRNA from 1 species